rnacentral:rRNA from 1 species
UCAGAAGUCGUAACAAGGUUUCCGUAGCUGAACCUGCGGAAGGAUCAUUGUCGAUGCCUGCAGAACGACCCGCGAACCAUUGACGACGAGAACCGAGCGACGAGGGAGGGUCGAUCGCCCCCCCGUAGUCGAUCGGAUCAACAAAACCCCGGCGCGGCACGCGCCAAGGAAAUCUAAAUCGAAACGUGGAGACGACGCGUCGGGGCGGCUGGCCCGCACGGCGACGUCGAGCUCCCGGAUAACCUUAACGACUCUCGGCAACGGAUAUCUCGGCUCUCGCAUCGAUGAAGAACGUAGCGAAAUGCGAUACUUGGUGUGAAUUGCAGAAUCCCGUGAACCAUCGAGUCUUUGAACGCAAGUUGCGCCCGAGUCCAUUUUUGGUCGAGGGCACGUCUGCCUGGGCGUCUCGCGACGCACCACGACCCGCCCGAUGCGGGGAGUGGAGAUUGGCCUUCCCGCGCGACGAGCACGGUCGGCUCAAAUAGCAGCCUCGACGCUCGGACGACGCGAUCAGCGGUGGUUGAUGAGAGAAUCCUUGUCAAGCGAGUGACGCGGUCGGACCGGCGCGAUCCGAGGGGGAGCACCCUAUUCGCAUGUAUAUACCUUGCGACCCCAGGUCAGGCGGGGCCACCCGCUGAGUUUAAGCAUAUCAAUAAGCGGAGGAA